rnacentral:rRNA from 2 species
GUGACCUCAAAUCAGGUAGGACUACCCGCUGAACUUAAGCAUAUCAAUAAGCGGAGGAAAAGAAACUAACAAGGAUUCCCCUAGUAACUGCGAGUGAAGCGGGAAAAGCUCAAAUUUAAAAUCUGUCAGUCUUUGACUGUCCGAGUUGUAAUCUAGAGAAGUGUUAUCCGCGCUGGACCGUGUACAAGUCUCCUGGAAUGGAGCGUCAUAGAGGGUGAGAAUCCCGUCUUUGACACGGACUGCCAGGGCUUUGUGAUGCGCUCUCAAAGAGUCGAGUUGUUUGGGAAUGCAGCUCAAAAUGGGUGGUAAAUUCCAUCUAAAGCUAAAUAUUGGCGAGAGACCGAUAGCGAACAAGUACCGUGAGGGAAAGAUGAAAAGAACUUUGGAAAGAGAGUUAAACAGUACGUGAAAUUGCUGAAAGGGAAACGCUUGAAGUCAGUCGCGUUGUCCAGGGAUCAACCUUGCUUUUGCUUGGUGUACUUUCUGGUUGACGGGUCAGCAUCAAUUUUGACUGUUGGAAAAAGAUCAAGGGAAUGUGGCAUCUUUAGAUGUGUUAUAGCCCUUGGUUGCAUACAAUGGUUGGGAUUGAGGAACUCAGCACGCCGCAAGGCCGGGAUAUUAUCCACGUACGUGCUAGGA